ACGUAGGUGGCAAGCGUUGUCCGGAAUUAUUGGGCGUAAAGGGUGCGCAGGCGGUCUCUUAAGUCUGUCUUAAAAGUGCGGGGCUUAACCCCGUGAGGGGACGGAAACUGGGAGACUGGAGUAUCGGAGAGGAAAGCAGAAUUCCUAGUGUAGCGGUGAAAUGCGUAGAUAUUAGGAGGAAUACCAGUGGCGAAAGCGGCUUUCUGGACGACAACUGACGCUGAGGCACGAAAGCCAGGGGAGCGAACGG
rnacentral:rRNA from 1 species